rnacentral:rRNA from 1 species
UCGAGAAUCUUCGGCAAUGGGCGAAAGCCUGACCGAGCGACGCCGCGUGGAGGAUGAAGGCCUUCGGGUUGUAAACUCCUGUUGGGGGGGAGCAAAUCAAUGAGCGACCCCCUGAGGAAGCACGGGCUAAGUUCGUGCCAGCAGCCGCGGUAAGACGAACCGUGCGAACGUUAUUCGGAAUCAUUGGGCUUAAAGAGCGCGUAGGCGGCGACGUAAGUUGGAAGUGAAAUCCCAUCGGCUCAACCGUGGAAUCGCUCCCAGUACUGCGUUGCUCGAGGGAGAUAGGGGCCUGUGGAACUGCCGGUGGAGCGGUGAAAUGUGUUGAUAUCGGCGGGAACGCCAGUGGCGAAAGCGACAGGCUGGACCUUUUCUGACGCUGAGGCGCGAAAGCUAGGGGAGCAAACGGGAUUAGAUACCCCGGUAGUCC